rnacentral:rRNA from 1 species
GAUGAACGCUGGCGGCGUGCCUAAUACAUGCAAGUCGAGCGAAUGGAUUAAGAGCUUGCUCUUAUGAAGUUAGCGGCGGACGGGUGAGUAACACGUGGGUAACCUGCCCAUAAGACUGGGAUAACUCCGGGAAACCGGGGCUAAUACCGGAUAACAUUUUGAACCGCAUGGUUCGAAAUUGAAAGGCGGCUUCGGCUGUCACUUAUGGAUGGACCCGCGUCGCAUUAGCUAGUUGGUGAGGUAACGGCUCACCAAGGCAACGAUGCGUAGCCGACCUGAGAGGGUGAUCGGCCACACUGGGACUGAGACACGGCCCAGACUCCUACGGGAGGCAGCAGUAGGGAAUCUUCCGCAAUGGACGAUAGUCCGACGGAGCAACGCCGCGUGAGUGAUGAAGGCUUUCGGGUCGUAAAACUCUGUUGUUAGGGAAGAACAAGUGCUAGUUGAAUAAGCUGGCACCUUGACGGUACCUAACCAGAAAGCCACGGCUAACUACGUGCCAGCAGCCGCCGUAA